GGUGAAAUGACUGAAAUUUAGGUGGUAAAUUGUAAAUUUAUUUAUGGAAUUAAUUCCUUUCACUA
rnacentral:tRNA from 1 species